UAAUAGAAGGCAGAAUGAUUAUUGUUCCCCCAUUUGAUUUUUGCAGACGAAGGGACAAAACUUUGCCUGUCGUCUGGCUAUGCCCGGUUCCUGUCGUUUCCAUCCAGCCGCCUAGGGCUCCAAACGGUAGGAAUGCCAGCGGAAAUGCCAAGCGGUAGCGACGACUAAUUGGCAGAGAGUUUAUCCAUACUGAAUGGCAUGAGUUGAGCGGGGUAAAGCGAGGGAAUACAGCGCUAAACGUAGGUGCAAAAUGAAACGGCAAAAAUAGAUUGACCGUGCAAAAACAAGUGAACUGAUAUAAUGGAGAAGAGAGAGAGAGAGCGAUACAGAUCGAGAGUUAGAACGCGUAAGGGAGACGAGUGCGGCGUUCACUGAAUCGGUUAAGAGUACCGCAAGCCCAGUUUUGAAAAGCAGCACGUGACCAUAUGGUCAUGGACGUCGGACUCGGUUCGAUCGGCGAUUAUUUCAGCUAGACCUGGCAGACAAGCCAACAGAGAGCGCUGCAAAAGACAAAAGCGAGACUGAGGAGAGAGACUGGCCAACAGGUGAGCGAGUUAAUUUGCCAGCAAGACAAAUUGAAGGCGAUUGUGAAAAAGCUUUGCUUUGUGUCUGUGUGCGUGCUAAAUAGUUGGGUGAGCAAGAUAGCAGACAAGCGGCGGCAAAUGCUUGGAAACAGAUCAGAAUGCUUUUUGCAGUGGACACCGGCUAAAGAAGACCCCGGCAUUAUGUAUAACGAAGAUGUUACGAGAACAUUAAAUAGUCUGAUAAGAACUUAGCCGGAAGGAGAUCCGAAAUGUAAUUUCUUCUGAACAAUGAAUUUUAAAGAAGAGUAAAGACUUUAGCUUUUUUCUAAAAACACCUCAAUUAAAACACAUUUCUCAUAUCGA